GUAGGGAAUCUUCCACAAUGGACGAAAGUCUGAUGGAGCAACGCCGCGUGAGUGAAGAAGGUUCUCGGAUCGUAAAACUCUGUUGUGAGGGAAGAACAAGUACCGGAGUAACUGCCGGUACCUUGACGGUACCUCAUUAGAAAGCCACGGCUAACUACGUGCCAGCAGCCGCGGUAAUACGUAGGUGGCAAGCGUUGUCCGGAAUCAUUGGGCGUAAAGCGCGCGCAGGCGGUCCCUUAAGUCUGAUGUGAAAGCCCACGGCUCAACCGUGGAGGGUCAUUGGAAACUGGGGGACUUGAGUGCAGAAGAGGAAAGCGGAAUUCCAAGUGUAGCGGUGAAAUGUGUAGAGAUUUGGAGGAACACCAGUGGCGGAGGCGGCUUUCUGGUCUGUAACUGACGCUGAGGCGCGAAAGCGUGGGGAGCAAACAGGAUUAGAAACCCUAGUAGUCC
rnacentral:rRNA from 1 species